UUAAAAGACAGAUGCGCGAUGUGGUUGCAGUCAGUGCAUCGUCUUCUUUGGUUCACGAAAACAGUCAGUGGCGAUUUACAAGGCCGUCGUAACUACCUGUUCGGGGACCUGCAUACAGAAAGGAUACAUUUUGCAUCAUGCUAAAACACGUUUGAUCGAAGUGAUUCAGUGUAAGGAAGACCUGAGACAAAAUUACGCAACGUGGUUUCUAUUUCCUGUGUGAGAUAAGCGUCAUGGACCCAACAGUUACGUAAGAAGUACUUGUCUCAUAUUUGGAGCUGCACAUGAUGAACGACAGAAAGGAUAUAACUCACGUGUCUGCAACCUACCCUUGAAGAUUUUCGAGUGACCACUUGACAGCAUGGUACUAGCCCCACGACUUCAUUAACGAUGAAGGCAGUGUGAUUGGAUACCAGAAUGACAUGAACACGCGAGACUAUCUGGAUAUGGCUUGGACGCCUACAAGUAAUUGCUGUCGUCGAGUGUGGCGAGCGUUAAGAAAACGACAGCCUGCAACAGGAAACAAGCUGCAGCAGCUAUCACAACGCACAAGGACUCCGAUCGCAUGGAUACCAGAGAGAAGAAUUCUCGUGCAACCUGGUGAAUGCUGAAGUUUACAAGCGGACUUCAAUCACAGCGACCUACGCAGGCUCUGUUCGCAAAUAUACAGCUUCCCUUUAACAAACAUUCUUAUUUUGAACACAAGCCUGUGAUAAUAUUUUUAAUAUGUAAUACUUUCAUUUAUUUAGUAUCAACACAGUGCAAAACUGGAUAUAUUUUUUGGUGAUACUUAACCAAAAGCGCCUUAUGUAUGUUACU